AAUUCAACGAAACCUUCAUUUUAGUGCAAUAUACCUGGAUUUUCUCAAAAGAUAGCUCCUGGAAAAGAAAGACACCUUUCAGCAUUCCUCCAAACUCAGAAUGCGUAUGCAGGCAAGCGCGGUGGCAAUGGUAGCUGUAUGCAUGCUGCUUCGGGGCUCCUGUGCUACGUUCGUUGAUUUCCCAACAAUGACAAGAUUUUGUCAGAGGAGGGAAACAGUAAAACCUCGAGGAUUUCGGAGGUAAUUUUACAGCAAUGAUUCACAUUCCUGCGAGGAGUUUUAUUGACAAAAGUAAAGCUGGUCUUAAGGCGUUAUGGCAUGACCACAUGACAAGUAGUUUGUAUGGAUUUUUUUUAUCCCCUCAGAAGCUAGAAUGAGAUUAUUUCACUAUGUUGACUAGAAACAGUAUUACAGAAGGGUUCCGAUACCCCAUUUCCACCCUCAUAUUUGAUUAUAUUCUCAUAUACUUCCACAAAUUAAAAACAAACAAACAAACAAACAAAAAACA